GUCGAGGGAAGCGCAGUCGGUUGCGCAGUUGGCUGUCAGUCAGCAGUCCGCGUGAUCGAUUCCCGCCCGCGCCU